rnacentral:rRNA from 1 species
UACGUAGGCGGAAAAUUAAGUCAGUAGUGAAAUCCUGCAGCUUAACUGUAGAACUGUUAUUGAUACUGGUUUUCUUGAAUAUAGUUGAGGUGGGCGGAAUGUGUAAUGUAGCGGUGAAAUGCUUAGAUAUUACACAGAACACCGAUUGCGAAGGCAGCUUACUAAACUGUUAUUGACGCUGAGGUACGAAAGCGUGGGGAGCGAACAGGAUUAGAUACCCUGGUAGUCC